AAUGGGAAAUUCGUCCAAGCCUCGAGCUGUAGAAGCGCGUAGGGAAGGCCGCGCGCGGAGGUAAGGGGUGAAGGGGAGUCCAUCGAAGGGUGGGCAACGGAGCUGAGUUCACACUGUCAAGAAAAGCCGCGCGUACCGGCGAACGGAAGCCUGACCGUUCUAAAAACCGACACAGGUAGGCUAGUUGAGAAGACUAAGGGGAGCGGGAGAACCUCCGCUAAGGAACUAGGCAAAAUGGCUCCGUAACUUCGGGAGAAGGGGCGCUCCUGCGGGUUAAGAGCUAGCGGGAGCUGCAAAGACCAGGCUCUGGCGACUGUUUACCAAAAACACAGGACUCUGCGAACACGAUGAGUGGACGUAUAGGGUCUGACGCCUGCCCAGUGCUGGAAGGUUAAGGGGAGUGGUCAGCGCGAGCGAAGCUACGAACCGAAGCCCCAGUAAACGGCGGCCGUAACUAUAACGGUCCUAAGGUAGCGAAAUUCCUUGUCGGGCAAGUUCCGACCUGCAUGAAUGGCGUAACGAUCGGAGCACUGUCUCAGCGGAGGGCCCGGUGAAAUUCCAAUCUUGGUGAAGAUGCCAAGUUACCCGCGAUUAGACGGCAAGACCCCAUGAAGCUUUACUGUAUCCUAAUAUGGUAUAGUGGUGGAAGGCGUACAGGAUAGGUGGGAGGCAGCGAACGCAGCGCGUCAGCGCUGCGGGAGCCGACGGUGGGAUACCACCCUCCUUCCAGCGUUAUACUAACCGAGGUAGGUGGAGAGCCUAUCAGGGACAGUGUUAGGGGGGCAGUUUGACUGGGGCGGUCGCCUCCAAAAAGGCAACGGAGGCGCGCGAAGGUGGGCUCAGGCUGGUUGGGAAUCAGCUGGCGGGUGCAAGGGCAAAAGCCCGCCUGACAGUGAGAGAGACAUCUCGAGCUGAGACGAAAGUCGGUCCUAAUGACCAGGUGGUGCUGUGUGGAAAGGCCAUCGCUCAACGGACAAAAGCUACUCUGGGGAUAACAGGCUGAUACCGUCCGAGAGUCCAUAUCGACGACGGUGUUUGGCACCUCGAUGUCGGCUCAUCGCAUCCUGGGGCUGUAGUCGGUCCCAAGGGUUGGGCUGUCCGCCCAUUAAAGCGGUACGUGAGCUGGGUUCAGAACGUCGUAAGACAGUUCGGUCCCUAUCUGUCGCGGGCGCAGUAUACUUGAGAAGGCUUCUCCCCAGUACGAGAGGACCGGGAGGAGUGGACCGCUGGUGAACCAGUUGUGCUACCAAGCGCAUAAGCUGGGUAUCUAAGUCCAUGAGUGAUAAGCGCUGAAAGCAUCUAAGCGCGAAACAUGCUUCAAGAUGAGGUAUCCCAUCGAAAGAGUAAGGGCCGUUCGAGAACAGGACGUAGAUAGGCCGCAGGUGGAAGCGGUGCGAGCCGUGCAGCCGAGCGGUACUAAUCGCCCGAGGCCUUGACCUA
rnacentral:rRNA from 1 species